rfam:Rattus norvegicus chromosome 1, whole genome shotgun sequence.
GGGGAUUUAGCUCAGUGGUAGAGCACUUGCCUAGCAAGUGCAAGGCCCUGGGUUCAGUCCUCA